ACUCUUUGCAUUCGAAUUUCCUCAACUACAACCUGACACGUAUUGGCGUAACAAAAUUGAGCUGCACGUUAAUUAUAUUUUUUUCAGCACAAGAGAAAAAGAAUAAAGAUGACUUGAUUAAAGAGUUACAGUAAAGAAAUAUGUCUAAAUUUAAACGGAGGCCAUUGGAGAAACUCCAUCAACUGGAACAUGCCCUUGAACCAAAGGCCAAGGAAGUCAAACAGUCAAUAUGUUCAUUCUCCUUCUUUGUUGCGGCUGUGAAGACAUUUUGUUUGGUUGUGUUUUUCUACACAUUUUCCAUUGGACUGACUUUUUACAACCAAAGAUUCAUACGGCAUUUUGAAGUCCCCCUUUCACUCACGAUGGCUCACUUAAUUGUCAAGUUCAUGAUAUCUGCAUUCCUGAGGACACUGCUAUCCAUGUACCUUAAAGAAGACAGGGUUGUUCUUCCGUGGAAUGAAAAUCUCAAAAGGAUAGCACCAACAGGCAUUGCCAGCAUUAUGGAUAUAGCAUUAUCAAACUGGAGUUUUGAAUUCAUUACUGUAUCUUUAUAUACCAUGACGAAAUCAACAGCUGUGAUAUUUAUUUUAGGAUUUUCACUAUUGUUCAGAUUAGAAAAACCUAGGCUGGUCCUGGUUGUAGUGGUGCUAUUUAUAGCAGGAGGACUGUUCAUGUUCACAUUCCACUCCACACAGUUCAACAUGAAGGGCUUUGUGAUGGUGCUCUCAGCCAGUCUGCUGUCUGGACUCAGGUGGACUCUGGCUCAGCUUGUCACACAGAAAAACAAACUAGGUUUGCAUAAUCCAUUAGAUUUGAUGUAUCAUGUCCAACCAUGGAUGAUUAUUGGACUGCUUCCAUUAUCAGUUUAUUUUGAAGGAAUAAAACUGAGCACAAAAGAGGACUUUUUUGCAUACACAGAGACAUCGUUAAUCCUGCGAAAUCUUGGUCUUGUCUUCCUGGGGGCAUUAAUUGCAUUCUUUCUGGAAUUUAGUGAAUUUUUAUUGUUAGCUAGCACAUCCAGUCUUACAUUAUCAAUAGCUGGGAUAUUUAAGGUAGGUACUCUUUGGGUAUUUACAUGAGUAUUUUCUUCAUUGUUUCUUAGGAAAUCUGAACUUUACAUGUAGUCAUUUUAUCCUUAUUGUCGUCCUGUAUUAUGAAUACUAGUAUGCAAAUGUGCAGGAGAUAUAUGCGAAAAAUGUUAUCCUUCAACAGACAAAAUUAUAAUAUCCAUUUCUAGUUGCUCUGAUAGUUGUCCAUACAUUCAGUUCUGUAACUUUUUCAUGUAAUCUGCAUGGUUAAUAUUUAUUAUAAAUGUCAGAUGAUCUAAUUAUGUUUAAAUAUGUACAAUGUACUUUAAGGUACUUGUAAGUUCUUAUUAAUAAGGUAAACAGAAACAAAGUACAUGACAUUGUACAUUUAUGUACAUGCAAUGCUUUGCUUUAAUAUAAAUUUAUGAGGAAAUAUUCAAUUUGGUUUAUAUUAAUUUUGUUUUGUUUAUAGCUUUGAAUUUAGUUGCAGAUAAUUCUUUUGCACUUUUUUGUAGGAAGUUUGCACUCUGUACUUAGCAGCUAGUGUCAAUGGAGAUCGUAUGAACUUUGUCAAUGGAAUAGGACUCAUUGUGUGCUUGCUUGGCAUCUCCAUUCAUGUCAUAGUUAAAGCCAUGUCUGCUCAUGAAGAAAAAAAGAAUGGAAUGUUAGUGCAAAAUGAAGAAGCCAUGCAGAUGUUACGAGCAGAUGAUUCGGAGUCGGAAGAAAGUGAUAUUUUUAAUGCCAUAUCAGACAGAUAGCAAACAAGGAAGUCAUUUUGACCAAAUUUCUUUACUGUUAUUUAUAUGAUGUUAAUUUCAACUCCGUCUUGUUAAUUUAUGUUACUGAAUAUGUCAUUAAAAUAUGAAAAUGUC
rnacentral:misc_RNA from 1 species